GAUGAACGCUGGCUACAGGCUUAACACAUGCAAGUCGAGGGGAAACGACGGGGAAGCUUGCUUCCCCGGGCGUCGACCGGCGCACGGGUGAGUAACGCGUAUCCAACCUGCCUCUGACUGAGGGAUAACCCGUCGAAAGUCGGCCUAAUACCUCAUGGUAUCGUCUGCGGGCAUCCAACGACGAUUAAAGAUUUCAUCGGUCAGGGAUGGGGAUGCGUCUGAUUAGCUUGUUGGCGGCGUAACGGCCCACCAAGGCUACGAUCAGUAGGGGUUCUGAGAGGAAGGCCCCCCACAGUGGAACGGUACCACCGACCAAACACCUACGGGCGGCAGCAGUGGAGAAGAAAGGUCAAUGAGCGAGAGCCUGAACCCGCCAAGUAGCGUGCAGGAAGACGGCCCUAUGGGUUGUAAACUGCUUUUAUGCGUGGAUAAAGUGAGGGACGGGUCCCUUAUUGCAGGUACCGCAUGAAUAAGGACCGGCUAAUUCCGUG
rnacentral:rRNA from 1 species